rnacentral:lncRNA from 1 species
AUGAAAAUCCCAUUCCUUGGCAUUUCUGUAUGGCUUUCUGGAGUCUUAUUCAUCCAACUUGUGAUUCAGUGGUCAGAAGAAAAUCAAUCUAAUAAUGUAAAAAAAGUCAAAUGCUGUGCUUUUAUUCUCUGUGCACUGGUUUCCCAAUCAGAUUCCCUCCCUGAAAAUUCUUCACGUUUUUGUGCCUCUCAAGGGGCGGGAGCAGAAAACACGCUGUGGGGAAAGCUGAACGGUCACAAAGAACUACAGGAGGAAACAAAAGUAGAGACUGAGCAUGAAUGGAUCAGACUUGUGCAAGCAGGGAAGGACUGCAUGUCUUGGCAGAUACCAUCGCGUUUUUGGAUCUGAAGAGCUCUAAACUCUAGGAACUGCAUCUAGCACAGGAAGCUCAGAGUGGUGAUGUUUGGGACAGCAACAAGUUCCCAAGGGAAUGAAUUACUUAUUCUUGGAGACUUGGAUGGAGCCUUUCACCCACCUGGCUGAGCUGCACACUCGUUUUGCAGCAUCUCCUUUAUCCAAGAGCAUGGCUGCCAGCCAGUUGAUUAGUCUGAAUGGUGAGGUAUGCCAAGCUCAGCCUUUCUAGCAUCUUGCUAUAAGGCUCAGAAUUCAUUAAGGGAAGAAGAAAAAUUAGAGAAAGCUUGGAAGAAGAACAUUAAGAACCUGGUCUAGUGGGAGGUGUCCCUGCCUACAGCAGGGGGGUUGGAAAUAGAUGAUCUUAAAGGUCCCUUCCAACCCAAACCAUUCUAUGAUUCUUAAAGUGUGAUCAACCUAACUGCACCAAGCCAAGUGAAGGCUAAAAGAGAUGAACGUGCCAAGCCAAAGCCAAACCCAUGGCACAGUCAGCUGAAGGCACAGUCUCGGGGGGACAAUCUGCCCUAUUGUGACUUUUGUCCAACACCAACCCACUGACAUAACCUAAAAAUAAAAUCUUAGCAAAAGCUAUCUAUGUUUUCCUAAAGUAGUUCUAUAUACCCAAACAUGGAGUUAUUUUGUUGUUGUGAAAAUCAAAUCCCAUGUUUCAGAUGAAAAAGGUAAAUCACUCAUUUGAUUUCACUGAGUGCUUUCAGCAACAGAACCACUGUUGGCCGUUCUGGUCAUUUUACUGUAAACAUUUCAGUAAAAAAGAAGAAAAGGAAGAAGGAAGAGAAAAGGCAUUGCGUGUAGCUCACGAAAAAUAGGUGCCCUGAGCUUCCAGCCUUCGUGGGUGUGCCUAACUUCAGAAAGCCCAAAGGCAAAUAGAAAACAUGCAUUUUAUUGUUUUUGAUCAUCCUUGUGAUUUUAAGUCAUGCAUGACUUUUCUAGGAGGCCUGACUCACAGCAUUCUAAUACGCUCAUCUUGGGUUGCAGCAUCCCACAAAAAAUGAAAACAACUGGAAGAGCUGCACGGGGAUGCCCACCCAGGUGAGAGGCUCGGGGCAGCCUGGUAGGCAACAAACAUUUGGCAUUUGCCAACGUUUGCAGUUUCAUGCCCACGCCAGGCAGUUGGAGCCCAGCACGCCUGGUGUUUAUGGGAGCAGAGAAAGCUAACGAAGAGCAAGGAGAGGUGAGGAAUUCCUGCCUAACGCAAAAAUAGGUGAAAGUUUAUCCUGAGAAAAACAGACGAAAUCUCUAAAUGCUAUCGAUGUGUUAAUGAAAGGCUGGGACAACAGAGAGUUCAUAUUGCAGAGCUGGUAACAAGAGAUUCUUGUUUUUGUCCUGAUUCUGCCUGUGACUCACAGAGCAAGGUUAGGCUUCUUCACUUCUCACUUCAGAGUGGGUUUGACUUAACUAUAGACACAGAUGCUGUCACAUUUACUCAUGUUGAAUAACACUUUCUUCCCUGGUGACACUAUUUAUGAAGUAAGAAACUCCAAAGAUCAUAGAACGUGAAUGAGGACUGCUGCAGGAACAAGAAGAUAUGAUGAAUCUUCAGCACAGAGAUGCUCUGAGGCUUCCCUAAUUAGGUCUAUGCCUAAUGCAUUUCUUAAUUAGCUGAGCCACACGUGGAUAAAGGGAUCGGUUACUACUGGUAGCAAGUGAACAGAAACAGGUUUGGAGCUCAGAUUUGGUCAGUUUGAGAGCCCACUGACUCCUCGUCCAGCAUAGCUGGGGUGAGGUGACUGAGAACCACGGAGCACCUCUUCCAAGCCUGAAGCAGCAGUAGAUAAGGUGAGGAGUCACAGUAUCUUUCCAGAGAUGGUCCUGAAAGUCCUUGCCCUCAAGUUCAAGACAUUCUGCAACCGAAUGGUUGCAGAUCAGUUGACAGACCCUAGAAAGUAAGUUUCACAGAAACUAAGAUUUGUUACAAUUGUUGGAUUGUGCCUAUGUUGUUCAAACACAGAUUCAAAGAGGAGAACAGCUGAUACCUCCUCAGAUUUCAAAUAAGCUACAUGCAGAAUGAAUUCAGGCCAGUGUUUCAUUAGUGCUCUUAUGAAGGCCCUUAGGCUUUCAUUUCUGAUUGGUAACUAUUUACAUUGUUUUCCUUUCCUCAGUGAUCUCAAAGAAAACAUUGCCUUGCUAGAUUUCCCAACUCCUAAAUUACCUGAUUUACACUUAUUGUCAUUACUUCAGUACACAAAAAGAUCAGGCUGGGCAGCUAAACAUCACUGUGUAUUAAAUGCUUCAGAACUUACAGCUGCAAUAAAACCCUCACCUUUAUGCUCACCAGCUCAAGAACUUCACAUCCCCUUUUAUUACAUAUCCAUAACUUACAGCAACAUAAAAACACAUCAUUGUUUCUCCUGAUAAUUUUACCAUCCUGCUAUUUUAUGAGCCUAUGAGGACAUGCACCAGGUACUGUAUCUUGACAAAGGAACUGGGUUACUGCCAAAUAAAACACUCAGACCAUUACUAUGGCUAAUACGCCAGAAAUGUUCACAAUGGGUUUUUAAAUAAUCCUCCAGGUUUAUAUUACAUCAUUCAUCCUGAAGAGAACCAUGGUGCUGUGGAGGCUCUUUGCUAAAAGGUAACUGCUGCUAAGCUGGAGGAAAGGUGACCAUCCUGCAGUGUUACAUGAGUGCAGAAGGUAAUGAAGCAAUGAACGAUAUCGCAAGCUAAUUGCUUGAUUUGGAGUUUGAUGAAGACAUGCGAGCUGAUACGCUGCUCUUUGUAAAAGUAUGCCCCACAGUGUCUGUGGGCCAAGUUUCAUCACUCGAGAGUGAUGGCUGUUCCACCAGCAUCAGGUUCCCCACCAUCACAGCCGGCACACCGUUCCCAGCUGAACUCAGGGACAAGAUUGUGACUCGGGGAGUGAAAACUUCACUCCUAACAGCACAGAACUUCCCGUAGAAAAGUUUCCUAAGCAGACUGGUGAGUUGUGAAGCCCAGCUCCCUUUGGCUUAGGAGAACAUCGGCAUAACAGCUUUACUCACUGCAGUCCACACAAGCUAUAACGUGUGGGAAGGUGCAUGACAGGCAGCCUUCAGCCAGAGAGGCGUAGGCACUUUGUGAUGUCUGAGUUGUAAUGCAGAUAUACCAGACUACUUAACGCACAAUGAAUCCUUCCUAAAUGCGGUAGGAGGAUCUAUAGCUAUCUACUGGACUUAGAGAUGAAUCAUCAGUGCAUUCCCACAGCCUGCUCUAUCUUCUGCUUCAGAAAUGGCUGUGACACACAGUUGAAAGAUGGGAAGAUCAGAGUAAAACACAGGGAAGGUGAGAAAUUCCUCUAUUUUGUCAUUUUCUGCAUUCACUAUGUUUCUCUAUUUAGUUACAAGCAGACAGUUCUUGACAGACCGACCACAUCGUGUCACCUAUAUAACCCAGCCCUGUAUGAGUGGAACAGUAGUACAAGGGAAGAUCACUGACCAGAUCAUCCUUUUAAUCAAGUCCUGGGAUGUGAAUGCUCUCUGUGAUAGAUACAUCUCUAGCUUCACACCAGUCUCCUCCCUUGCUCACAGCCCUGGGAACAAGGCAUCCACAUCACUGAAUCUUCUCUCUGGUUCCCAUUGUGUCAAAUACUAUUUCAGAUGGUGCUCGUUAUCCAUGCUUAACCAAAAUCAUUAGGCAAAUUAUUUAGCAGGGUGUACAGGGAUUUUAGCAGUGGGAUUCCCAUUAAUGUGGCCAGACAUGCACAGCUAAACCUCUGCACUAAGAUCUCCCUGCACAGUAUUGCCUUAAUA